UUUGGAAAAUUAUUUUAUAAAAUAUUGCUAAAAAGGCAUAUAUUUUUUGAAAAAAUAAUUUUGACAAAUCAAUCUUACAUUUUUCAUCGCCAAGCAGUCUCUCAUUUUCCUUCCAUCCAAACAGCGGAUCUUCUUUACAAAAGAAAGAAAAAAAGGACAAAACCCUAGACGUUGAAGCACAUUGCUUUCAGUUGCGGUAGUCCACACUCCAUAGAUCACACAGGACCAGAAUACAUUCUUCAUACCAAAAUCCAAGCCCCAGAUUUUCAUCAGCAACGGGAGCCAAAUCUCCAUCGAACUUCCCACAGUGACACGGUUGCUCUAGGGCUUCAAAACGAGGCGUGGGCAAUGUUGUAAAUUUUGUGGGUUUUAGGUUUCAUCUAUAAAGAGGAUGGAUAGUAAUUAUGAUCUCUUGGAGGAGCUCUUCAACGUCGAAUUGGAGCUUCAAGACGUCCAAGACCAGAUUAAGAAUUUGCUUGAUCGGCAAGAGAAGUUGCAUGAGAGACAAUCUGAACUGAAAACCCUGUUGGAAGCAUGUAAAGGAUCAGGAAGCCCUGUAAAGGAUGGCGCUUCUGUUGCAGUAGAGAACUGGUCAGGGCCAUUUGACUGGGAUGCUCAAGCAGAUGAUGUUAGGUUCAAUAUUUUUGGCAUAUCCACAUAUCGUGCAAACCAGCGUGAGAUUAUAAAUGCAGUCAUGAGUGGAAGGGAUGUUCUGGUGAUCAUGGCUGCAGGUGGUGGUAAGAGCCUUUGUUACCAGCUUCCAGCUAUACUUCGUGAUGGAGUUGCUCUUGUUGUCAGUCCUUUGCUUUCUCUGAUUCAGGACCAGGUGAUGGGAUUGGCUGCUUUAGGAAUCCCAGCAUACAUGUUGACAUCUACUACUAGCAAGGAAGAUGAGAAGUUCAUAUACAAGGCACUGGAGAAAGGCGAUGGAGACCUUAAAAUACUGUAUGUCACACCUGAAAAGAUAUCAAAGAGCAAGAGAUUCGUGUCAAAACUUGAAAAGUGUCAUCAUUCUGGUUGUCUCUCCCUCAUUUCAAUUGAUGAGGCACAUUGCUGUAGUCAGUGGGGCCAUGACUUUCGCCCAGAUUACAAAAAUCUUGGCAUCUUAAAGACUCAGUUUCCUGAUGUUCCAGUAGUUGCUUUGACUGCCACAGCAACGAAGAAGGUCCAAAAUGAUCUUAUGGAAAUGCUGCAUAUCCCGAAAUGCAUUAAAUUUGUCAGCACAGUGAAUCGGCCAAAUCUUUUUUACAUGGUACGCGAAAAGUCAUCUGUUGGAAGGGUGGUUAUUGAUGAAAUUGCUGAAUAUAUUCAAGAAUCAUAUCCAAAUAAUGAAUCUGGAAUUGUUUAUUGCUUCUCUAGGAAGGAAUGUGAACAGGUCGCAAAGGAAUUACGUGAAAGAGGAAUUUCAGCUGAUUAUUAUCACGCAGAUAUGGAUGUGAAUGCUCGUGAGAGAGUUCAUCUUCGGUGGAGCAAUAGCAAGUUGCAGGUCAUUGUUGGUACGGUGGCCUUUGGUAUGGGAAUUAACAAGCCUGAUGUCAGGUUUGUCAUCCAUCACAGCCUAAGUAAAUCAAUGGAGACAUACUACCAGGAAAGUGGUCGAGCUGGAAGAGAUGGACUCCCUUCUGAAUGCCUGCUCUAUUUUAGGCCUGGGGAUGUACCUAGGCAGAGUUCAAUGGUCUUCUAUGAGAAUUCUGGAUUGCAAAAUCUCUAUGACAUAGUACAAUAUUGUCAGUCUAAAAGGGAAUGUCGUCGAAAUGCUUUUUUUCGACAUUUUGCUGAGCCAUUGCAAGACUGCAACGGGAUGUGUGAUAACUGUGCAUUUUCAACUGAGGUCAAGGAAGUUGAUGUUUCCUGUCUUGCAAAAGCUAUGAUUUCUUUGCUGCAAGAUAUGCAAGACAACGAUCAGAGAUUAACAAUGUUGCAAAUGGUGGACAAGAUGAAGGUUAAGAAUAAGGACCUAGGUUCUGACCUAAGGAAAGAGGAAAUAGAGCACCUUGUGAUUCAGCUUAUACGGGAUCGCGUUUUGAAAGAAGAAUUUCAGCAUACAGCUUAUGCUACAAAUGCUUACGUGACAUUGGGACUAUUGUGGAAGCAAGUAUCGCAUGGAAAAAGGAUUGUUAAGCUUGAGAUUUCUACCAAAGUGAAGACUAAGACUGGUAACAUGAAAUCAUCCAAACGCAGCCUGACAUCUUCGGGUUUGGAGUUGAAGCUUGAUGAGCUACGAAAGGAACUCUCUUCCACUCAUGGAGGAAUAUUCCCUCAUUCUGUGUUGUCUACACAACAGAUUAGCAUCCUCAGUGCCCAGAAACCAACUUCAAUUCUAGAGUUAGAGACAAUGAUUGGAAAGCUGAAGACAGAGAAGUAUGGGAGUAAGAUUCUUGAAGAGAUUGCGAAGUACACCGAGACAGAGCAGCCCGAAAAUGUUCCUCCUGAUGACAGUACGUUAGGUGAAGGGCAAGGCAGUGAAAAGAAACCUACUAAGAGAUUGAAGACUGAUGAAGCGCAAGGCAGUGAAAAGAAACCUACAAAGAGGUUGAAGACUGAUGAAGGGCAAGGCAGUGAAAACAGGGCUCCCAAAAGGCUGAAGUCCAAUAAGGCAGUGGUUCUGAUUGAGAGCAGUGGAGAUGAAACAUGACAGAAUUUGAAACAAACCGAUGACAGUGAUAUAGGACGCCCUUCUAUAAAUCUGCUGAACUCCCAGAAAAUGAGAAAGCACAGCCUUUGGAAAUCUAAUGGCAGGAAACGACAAGACAGCAGAGGGUUUAUUUAUUCAGUUAUGAUCAAGACAUCACCUAUGGAGGACUGUUAAUGAUAUGUGGAAGGAGAGAGUAUGCAAUUAAUCUCUCAUUUUGAGACCCGAAACAACGAUUACUGUUAAUACUUUUUAGUUAGUUUUACUUAAUUAAUUUAAUUAUAUAAUUUUAAUUAUUAUAUGUUUACAAUAUAAAAAAUAAAUUAGAAUUUUAGUUUUA